AAACCCCAAACCCCCACACCACCAAAGACCUCUCAUCCGGAGUCUAGGGACUGUGGUCACUCUCACAGAGUGAAAAGAAAAAGGAUAAGAAGGCGAUCGUACUGUGAGCCUGUUCAGAGAAAUGGCUUCAGUGCAAGCUACUUUGACACCAGCUGCAUGCAAGAAUGGGAACUAUUCUUCCCCGAUGAAGUUCUCGAAUAGCUCCUUCUUGCCUGGGUUUGAUGUGACCGGACAAAUUACUGGAAUAAGGAAGAAGGAUUCAUGGUCGACCCAUCUGUCUGGCGUUAGAGCCACUUUAACAUUUGAUCACCCUACAACCAAUAAGGAGAACUCCAAGCAAAGGAAGCACACUGUGGAUCCCAAUGCUCCUGAUUUCCUCCCUCUCCCAUCCUUCGAAGAAUGCUUCCCGAGGAGCUCCAAGGAAUACACGGAGGUUAUUCAUGGACAAUCUGGAAAUGUACUUAAAGUUCCUUUUCGACGUAUCCACCUAUCAGGGGAUGAACCUCAUUUUGAUGCUUAUGACACCAGUGGCCCCCAAGAUAUUAACCCCCACAGUGGUCUUCCCAAACUGCGCAAGGACUGGGUUGAUAGGAGGGAGAAACUCGGUGGGCCAAGAUACACACAAAUGUACUACGCUAAGCAGGGAAUCAUAACUGAAGAGAUGGCAUUUUGUGCUGCUCGUGAAAAUCUGGAGCCAGAAUUUGUGAGGUCAGAGGUUGCUCGUGGCCGUGCAAUCAUACCGUCAAACAAGAAGCACCUAGAGUUAGAGCCAAUGAUAGUUGGAAGAAAUUUCUUGGUGAAAGUCAAUGCUAAUAUUGGAAACUCUGCUGUUGUGAGUUCUAUCGAGGAAGAAGUACAUAAGCUUCAAUGGGCAACAAUGUGGGGUGCUGAUACCAUUAUGGAUCUCUCAACAGGUCGUCACAUUCAUGAAACUCGUGAGUGGAUCCUACGUAACUCUGCUGUACCUGUUGGUACAGUACCAAUCUAUCAAGCACUAGAAAAAGUGAAUGGUAUUGCUGAGAAUUUGAGCUGGGAAGUUUUCAGAGACACCUUAAUUGAGCAAGCAGAGCAAGGUGUAGAUUACUUCACCAUCCAUGCUGGAGUCCUUCUCCGUUACAUUCCGCUGACAGCAAAAAGAAUGACUGGAAUUGUUUCUCGUGGAGGUUCUAUUCAUGCAAAGUGGUGCUUAGCUUAUCACAAAGAGAAUUUUGCUUACGAACAUUGGGAUGAAAUAUUAGACAUAUGCAAUCAGUACGAUAUAUCCUUAUCGAUAGGUGAUGGUUUGAGGCCUGGAUCCAUUUAUGAUGCAAAUGACACUGCUCAGUUCGCAGAGCUCCUAACUCAAGGAGAAUUGACUCGUAGAGCUUGGGAGAAGGAUGUACAGGUCAUGAAUGAAGGACCUGGACAUAUUCCGAUGCACAAGAUUCCAGAGAACAUGCAAAAGCAGCUGGAAUGGUGUAAUGAAGCGCCUUUCUACACUCUUGGACCCCUGACAACUGAUAUUGCUCCUGGUUAUGAUCACAUCACCUCAGCAAUUGGUGCUGCCAAUAUUGGGGCUCUUGGUACUGCACUGCUCUGUUAUGUGACACCCAAAGAGCAUCUUGGCUUGCCUAAUCGAGAUGAUGUAAAGGCUGGAGUUAUAGCUUAUAAGAUAGCUGCACAUGCCGCUGAUUUAGCAAAAGGGCAUCCUCAUGCUCAAGCCUGGGAUGACGCACUGAGCAAGGCAAGAUUUGAGUUCCGUUGGAUGGACCAAUUUGCAUUGUCAUUGGACCCCAUGACUGCAAUGUCCUUCCAUGACGAAACCCUGCCAUCCGAAGGCGCUAAAGUGGCACAUUUCUGCUCUAUGUGUGGACCAAAAUUUUGCUCUAUGAAGAUCACUGAGGACGUCAGGAAAUAUGCGGAGCAGCACGGUUAUGGAAGUGCAGAGGAAGCUGUUAAGCGUGGGAUGGAUGCCAUGAGUGCUGAGUUCUUGGCUGCCAAGAAAACUGUGAGUGGGGAACAACAUGGUGAGAUUGGUGGAGAAAUCUACCUGCCUGAAACUUACGUGAAGUCUAUCAAAAUCUGAAGGAUAACCUAAAAAUUGGGAACUGGUUGUGGACUCCAUUGGCAUCAUCCUACUUUGGCUGGUUGAGAUCUUCCGGAGGGGUUAGGAUCUCCUUCUUAAGCAAUAGGGGUGUCUGUACCUGCCGGCACCAGCUAUUUUGUUAGGAUGUUUGGCAGGACAGGCUGAGAAAGUCCCUUUGAACCUGAACAGGAUAAUUCCUGCGUAGGGAGCGUGCAUUUUCUCUUCCGUUUUUUGUACAGGGAUGGAAGUUCAUCCUUGAUACGGCCUUGCCAAUCCAUGUGGGAUGGGUUUAGCUCCAUGGUCAGAACAUUUCUCAUGCCAGGCAAGUUGACUAGGAAAUGAUAAACUCCAACAUUUGCUGUGCCUUUUUCCCAGCAUACAGUUAGCCAAACUCCCUCGAUAUGUAGGUCGUAUACUAAAACCAUGUCUUCCCGCUCCAUUGAGCCAGAAUCAAGAGAAAACCUGAAAAUAUGUAUUUGCUCGAAGUAGCUAAGAAGGAAUAAGUGCUAAUCCAGUUUCUCAAAAGCCUGAAAUUUCUUGGUUAAACAAUUCAACUUGAGACUUUGAUUU